rnacentral:rRNA from 1 species
UUGAACGCUAGCGGGAUGCUUUACACCUGCCAGUCGCACGGCAGCGCGGACUUCGGUCUGGCGGCGAGUGGCGAACGGGUGAGUAAUGUAUCGGAACGUGCCCAGUAGCGGGGGAUAACUACGCGAAAGCGUAGCUAAUACCGCAUACGCCCUACGGGGGAAAGCAGGGGAUCGUAAGACCUUGCACUCUUGGAGCGGCCGAUAUCGGAUUAGCUAGUUGGUGAGGUAACGGCUCACCAAGGCGACGAUCCGUAGCUGGUUUGAGAGGACGACCAGCCACACUGGGACUGAGACACGGCCCAGACUCCUACGGGAGGCAGCAGUGGGGAAUUUUGGACAAUGGGGGCAACCCUGAUCCAGCCAUCCCGCGUGUGCGAUGAAGGCCUUCGGGUUGUAAAGCACUUUUGGCAGGAAAGAAACGUCGCGGGCUAAUACCCCGUGGAACUGACGGUACCUGCAGAAUAAGCACCGGCUAACUACGUG